rnacentral:rRNA from 1 species
GUCGAGGGGCAGCGGUGGUGAAGGCUUGCCUUUACCAGCCGGCGACCGGCGCACGGGUGAGUAACACGUAUGCAACCUGCCUGCCACAGCCGGAUAAUCGGGAGAAAUUCCGUCUAAUACGGCAUAAUGCACCUAUGGGACAUCCUGUUGGUGCCAAAGGUUGAUUCCGGUGGCGGAUGGGCAUGCGUCGCAUUAGUUAGUUGGCGGUGUAACGGACCACCAAGACGACGAUGCGUAGGGGUUCUGAGAGGAAGGUCCCCCACACUGGUACUGAGACACGGACCAGACUCCUACGGGAGGCAGCAGUGAGGAAUAUUGGUCAAUGGGCGGGAGCCUGAACCAGCCAAGUCGCGUGAGGGAUGACGGCCCUAUGGGUUGUAAACCUCUUUUGCCGGGGAGCAAAGUGCCGCACGUGUGCGGUUUGGAGAGUACCCGGAGAAAAAGCAUCGGCUAACUCCGUGCCAGCAGCCGCGGUAAUACGGAGGAGGCGGGCGUUAUCCGGAUUUAUUGGGUUUAAAGGGUGCGUAGGCGGACGCUUAAGUCAGCGGUAAAAUUGCGGGGCUCAACGUGGUCGAGCCG